AUCUGUGGCCAUCUCACCCUGAACAAGCCUUAUGUCUGAUCUUGGAAGCUAAGCAGGGUCAGGCCUGGUUAGUACUUGGAUGGGAGACCACCUAGGAAGACCAGAUGCUGUAGGCA
rfam:Pteropus alecto contig54488, whole genome shotgun sequence.